GGUUAAGCGACUAAGCGUACACGGUGGAUGCCCUGGCAGUCAGAGGCGAUGAAGGGCGUGCUAAUCUGCGAUAAGCGCCGGUAAGGUGAUAUGAACCGUUAUAACCGGCGAUACCCGAAUGGGGAAACCCAGUGUGAUUCGUCACACUAUCAUUACGUGAAUACAUAGCGUAAUGAAGCGAACCGGGGGAACUGAAACAUCUAAGUACCCCGAGGAAAAGAAAUCAACCGAGAUUCCCCCAGUAGCGGCGAGCGAACGGGGAGGAGCCCAGAGCCUGAAUCAGCAUGUGUGUUAGUGGAAGCGUCUGGAAAGGCGCGCGAUACAGGGUGACAGCCCCGUACACAAAAGCGCAUGUGCUGUGAGCUCGAUGAGUAGGGCGGGACACGUGGUAUCCUGUCUGAAUAUGGGGGGACCAUCCUCCAAGGCUAAAUACUCCUGACUGACCGAUAGUGAACCAGUACCGUGAGGGAAAGGCGAAAAGAACCCCGGCGAGGGGAGUGAAAAAGAACCUGAAACCGUGUACGUACAAGCAGUGGGAGCACAGGUUUACCUGUGUGACUGCGUACCUUUUGUAUAAUGGGUCAGCGACUUAUAUUCUGUAGCAAGGUUAACCGUAUAGGGGAGCCGGAGGGAAACCGAGUCUUAAUUGGGCGUUAAGUUGCAGGGUAUAGACCCGAAACCCGGUGAUCUAGCCAUGGGCAGGUUGAAGGUUGGGUAACACUAACUGGAGGACCGAACCGACUAAUGUUGAAAAAUUAGCGGAUGACCUGUGGCUGGGGGUGAAAGGCCAAUCAAACCGGGAGAUAGCUGGUUCUCCCCGAAAGCUAUUUAGGUAGCGCCUCGUGAAUUCAUCUCCGGGGGUAGAGCACUGUUUCGGCUAGGGGGCCAUCCCGGCUUACCAACCCGAUGCAAACUGCGAAUACCGGAGAAUGUUAUCACGGGAGACACACGGCGGGUGCUAACGUCCGUCGUGAAGAGGGAAACAACCCAGACCGCCAGCUAAGGUCCCAAAGUCAUGGUUAAGUGGGAAACGAUGUGGGAAGGCCCAGACAGCCAGGAUGUUGGCUUAGAAGCAGCCAUCAUUUAAAGAAAGCGUAAUAGCUCACUGGUCGAGUCGGCCUGCGCGGAAGAUGUAACGGGGCUAAACCAUGCACCGAAGCUGCGGCAGCGACGCUUAUGCGUUGUUGGGUAGGGGAGCGUUCUGUAAGCCUGUGAAGGUGUGUCGUGAGGCAUGCUGGAGGUAUCAGAAGUGCGAAUGCUGACAUAAGUAACGAUAAAGCGGGUGAAAAGCCCGCUCGCCGGAAGACCAAGGGUUCCUGUCCAACGUUAAUCGGGGCAGGGUGAGUCGACCCCUAAGGCGAGGCCGAAAGGCGUAGUCGAUGGGAAACGGGUUAAUAUUCCCGUACUUGGUGUUACUGCGAAGGGGGGACGGAGAAGGCUAUGUUGGCCGGGCGACGGUUGUCCCGGUUUAAGCGUGUAGGCUGGUUUUCCAGGCAAAUCCGGAAAAUCAAGGCUGAGGCGUGACGACGAGGCACUACGGUGCUGAAGCAACAAAUGCCCUGCUUCCAGGAAAAGCCUCUAAGCAUCAGGUAACACGAAAUCGUACCCCAAACCGACACAGGUGGUCAGGUAGAGAAUACCAAGGCGCUUGAGAGAACUCGGGUGAAGGAACUAGGCAAAAUGGUGCCGUAACUUCGGGAGAAGGCACGCUGACACGUAGGUGAAGUGAUUUACUCAUGGAGCUGAAGUCAGUCGAAGAUACCAGCUGGCUGCAACUGUUUAUUAAAAACACAGCACUGUGCAAACACGAAAGUGGACGUAUACGGUGUGACGCCUGCCCGGUGCCGGAAGGUUAAUUGAUGGGGUCAGCGCAAGCGAAGCUCCUGAUCGAAGCCCCGGUAAACGGCGGCCGUAACUAUAACGGUCCUAAGGUAGCGAAAUUCCUUGUCGGGUAAGUUCCGACCUGCACGAAUGGCGUAAUGAUGGCCAGGCUGUCUCCACCCGAGACUCAGUGAAAUUGAACUCGCUGUGAAGAUGCAGUGUACCCGCGGCAAGACGGAAAGACCCCGUGAACCUUUACUAUAGCUUGACACUGAACAUUGAGCCUUGAUGUGUAGGAUAGGUGGGAGGCUUUGAAGUGUGGACGCCAGUCUGCAUGGAGCCGACCUUGAAAUACCACCCUUUAAUGUUUGAUGUUCUAACGUGGACCCGUAAUCCGGGUUGCGGACAGUGUCUGGUGGGUAGUUUGACUGGGGCGGUCUCCUCCUAAAGAGUAACGGAGGAGCACGAAGGUUGGCUAAUCCUGGUCGGACAUCAGGAGGUUAGUGCAAUGGCAUAAGCCAGCUUGACUGCGAGCGUGACGGCGCGAGCAGGUGCGAAAGCAGGUCAUAGUGAUCCGGUGGUUCUGAAUGGAAGGGCCAUCGCUCAACGGAUAAAAGGUACUCCGGGGAUAACAGGCUGAUACCGCCCAAGAGUUCAUAUCGACGGCGGUGUUUGGCACCUCGAUGUCGGCUCAUCACAUCCUGGGGCUGAAGUAGGUCCCAAGGGUAUGGCUGUUCGCCAUUUAAAGUGGUACGCGAGCUGGGUUUAGAACGUCGUGAGACAGUUCGGUCCCUAUCUGCCGUGGGCGCUGGAGAACUGAGGGGGGCUGCUCCUAGUACGAGAGGACCGGAGUGGACGCAUCACUGGUGUUCGGGUUGUCAUGCCAAUGGCACUGCCCGGUAGCUAAAUGCGGAAGAGAUAAGUGCUGAAAGCAUCUAAGCACGAAACUUGCCCCGAGAUGAGUUCUCCCUGAGACUUAGAGUCUCCUGAAGGAACGUUGAAGACGACGACGUUGAUAGGCCGGGUGUGUAAGCGCAGCGAUGCGUUGAGCUAACCGGUACUAAUGAACCGUGAGGCUUAACCUU
rnacentral:rRNA from 1 species